GCCACCCAGGCACCCCUGAAAUAUACUUCUAUGUUGAAAAAAUAAUAAUAAAGCAAGAAGCAGGAAAGUUGUUGGGCCAUCUUUCAGAUUAGACGAAGAGCUGGUCUCUCCGGACUUCACUAUACCACUGAAUCUGAGCCUGCGUGCUAAGCAUCCACAUACAUCCAACAAAGAAGCCGCGGUGAACAGGGGAGAGGAGCCAAUGCAGUCAGGGAUAAAAAAUGCCUUUGUAAAGUCUGGAAGCCCCCCGCCCGGAGUCCCAGGGGAGGGCGCACCUGCUCUAUGUGCAUGUUCUCCAGGAGCGCACUCUGCGGCUGCAGGGUUGGCAGGGCCACCUCCUCAUCGUCUUCGUAGUAACUGCACGUGCUCUUCCUGCGCUUCGCCUCCUCAACAGUGAUGAUCUGGAAUGGAGAAGACAGGCCCCCAAAAGCUGCAACAGGCUCACAGCACUGCCAAGACUCUGCUCCAUGCUGGGCUGCAUCACUGGGCGGCUGUGUCACCUCAGCUGUGCUUCUGGGGGAUGGUUCCUCACUGGCUUCAAUGGAAAAGACAGAAGCCCUGAAUGGCCUCCCUCCUGUCUCAGGGGGUAGGCUCUAUCUCUGCUGCCAACAAAGUCACUCCAACCUUGGGAAGCCUCAGAACUCUCCAACUGACAAAACUGGAGGGUUGAGGGAUAUAAAACCUGAUAAAAAAAAAAAUCUGAGUUGACAUAUGUGGAACUUGAGAAACCCAGCAGAAGACCAUGGGGGAAAGGAAGGAAAAAAUGGUUUCAAACAGAGAAUGAAGCAAACCCAUAAGAGACUCUUAAAUACAGAGAAAAAACUGAAGGUUGAU